rnacentral:snoRNA from 1 species
GCAUAUGAUAAAGCAAAUGAGUAUGAAUGAAGUCAAUGAUACUGUAAAUGCUUUCUAAAAAUAUG